UAAAGAAGUGAAACUCCAGCUGCUGGAGCAGUAUUGAAUUCUCAUUAAAAACAAUUAGUUGGUCCUUUAUUUAAGGCAAGUGACCGAUUGCCCAAACAGUACAAAACAGCACAAUGCAGCACAAUACAAACCAACAUAAACACAAAAUAUGAAUAAAGCUGGGGUCACCGCCUUGGAACGGUCAAUGCAAAGCAUUGGGGGUUUAAACCGGUUAUAGAGCGCUCAACCUCACACUUGGCCCAGCAAUAUUCAUAAUACAUUAAAGUGUAAAUAAAAUUUAACGUCAUAGCUGUGUAACUCAAAUCAAACAAUAAUAAACGGGAAUUAAAACGCAUUCAAUUUAAUUACAAUUUAAUUACUCAAUGAUAUUGAAGAUACCAGAGCAACAAAGUUACAACAUUUUGACGAACGAUAAAAUGAAACUACAAACAAGUGUCAACUGCAUUUCUUCUUUAUAGAAAAAUAUUUAAGAAUAUAGCGUCAUUUAGUAAAUAUUUCAGAUAAUCAUCGCGCAAAUACAGGAAGAAGCAGCAAUAAUGGGUGUAAAAAUUCCAUAUUACAUUGAUUGGUUGUUUAUGUGACUGCUAAAAAUUAAAUUAAUAAUAAUUAAAUAAAAAAAGAAACGCCUAUAAGAGAGAAAAUAUAAAUAAAAUUGAACGUUAUAAACCCAAUGACCUAUGCAGUCACGAUGUGCAUAUUCGAAUCGAAUUUGAUUUAUCUAUUUUGCAGUACGAAAGAUAACAUCACCUUUGAACGGCAACACAUUGUUUUGCAAAUAUCUAAUUGUUUUAAUUGUUUUAAAAUUGUAAUAACACGGCGUACACAAUUUAAAGUUAAAGUUAAAUAAAUCGUUUUUGAGCUGAAAAGUAAAAAUGAUUAAAUUUAAAGGCCUACAGUGUGAAAGGGGAAAGAGUAUAUUGAAGAGCUCUUUCAUGAGUUAUGAAACGUUCGUCAUCAAAAUAAUUUGCGAACAACAAAUAUUACAUUUAUAUCGAUGGUAUUUAACAUAUCUUAAAUCUCUACGCUAUGCUUAUUCAAUAAGAUUUAAAGUAGUUGUGUUUGAUGUAGUAAAUGUUCGUAACGGGUCAUUGUGUAGAAAAAACGGUAUGUUGUAUAUUCAAAGUGAAAGUUUGGUUAUUUUAAAACAUAUUAUCCACUUUAUUUUACUAUAUGUGCUUUUUUAUCAAUUACAACUGGUUAAUAAACGGUUAAUUUUCUUACGAUUAUGCACUUCUCAAAUAUACAUUGAGUUAUUCCAUAACUGGAGUGUAUUUUGUUCAAGGUGUCGACAUUGUGUUUGUGUUUAAGCACUAAUUUGCAAUCUAUUAUACGCAGCAUAUGUUGAACUUAAACUAUAAGUCAAUUCAUUGCACAAACAUUUAUUUUUUUUAAGAAAAAUACUAAUCUUAUUUAUUCAAUAAUAAAAUAUUUAUUUGUUGUUUGAUUUGAUUGCGUAUAAUGAUUGGAUGGACUUAUUUUGAAUAUGUCCUGUUUUGCCCUUUUAAGGUAUCGCGGAAAGUCUGUGCGGUUACGUGUCAAGCAGUAAAGUCUACACUUACAAUGGUGACGUCAAGAUAAAAUUCACCUCUAGACCCCUACAGUGGGUCCACGCAUCAUUCACUUUGAUCGUAACGCUGUAUUCGGAUUCAAGUGCGUGUGGAAGCAGGAAUCAUGUUUGCGACAACGGGCGGUGCAUUGACUGAGAUUUGAAAUGCAACGGUUAUAAUUCUUGCGGAGAUAACUCCGGUUGUGCAGACGGCCCUUGUGGAUUUUUUGGUUCAGGCGUCAGCAGAGGUGUAGGAAUGUAAUCGUCCUCGUCAUAGUCACAGUUACGAUUAUCUGUUGCAAUAGAAGACCCAUCAGAAUACCCACACAGCAAUCCCGACCCACAGCACCUACGAUGCAAGUUGUGUAUGCUGUCAGUACCAAUUCUGGGAACUUUAACAAAGGGUUUCCACAGGAGCUUUACGGAAUACAGAUGCAACACACAGCAGCUAAUUUCCAACCGAGAACUCCGUCAUUUGACCUUGUCACCUCCUCCGUAUGACCCAACUUGGGCGCCAAAAAAAGGAAACCAGAUUGCCAAUACGCCUUUGUAGCGAAUCAGAACAUACAGACACACAUUGAGAAAGCUACAGGGGCCGAAGAGCCGAACACGCACGGAGAAGGAUAUAUUAAGUAUAAGCUCAAUGCUGAUCGUUCUGAUGAUCACUACCGUACGCCUGGGGAUGUAGCUUUAAAUGAUAAUCAACGCACGGAUUAUGCACACCAUUGAACUCAUUCUUUUUUAACGCUUAGCAUUAUAACGUCGUUUUUGAACAAACUGUUUAUGUAAAAUAAAACAUACACUAAAACUGUAGAAAACUCUUUUAAAACACAUUUUGUAUAUACUUACUUGUUGAGACCUUGAAUGUGUGUGUUUUGUCAUACGUUGGAAUAACACAAAUGCAACGUGAAAUGAUCAAUGGUAAACAUGUCCAUAGGUAUAUUUCAAAUGAUCAAAUAUCUGAAAAUCUCAAUUGUAACAUUUAUUAUAGACACUGAACCCGUAUACAUGUUCAUGGUUAUGUUUAAUUGCUACAAAUAUAAAAGGAUAGUUUUUUUUAAUUGACCUUGCUGAUUAAAAUUAAGGCUCAUCUUGCAGUAGUCGUAAUAUACAAGAAUUAUUACUUUAUGACUUACACUGUAUUUUACAAUAUGAUUUUAUGAUUAUGUGAUAAGUUAUUUCAACAUCAAACUUAAUAAGUACAACGUAUGUCAUUCAAGCAUUAGAUAUAUUAAUGUGAAUGAUACAAUCCAUUCACAUAUUUUAUAGCGUUACACGUACUUCAAGAUGUACCAUAUAUGUUCGAAUGUAAAGGUUCUACUACAUACAUGUGUUAUUUAAUACACAACUUCGAAUUAUCUUGCUGUGAAAUAUCGUGUCACGGUGUACAGUCAGAAUUAUCCGUAGUCAAACAGGCGACAUGUGGUGUUAAUAUGGCAGGCUAGCACACAGUCUGUCAAGGAAAUAAGCCAAAACGCAUGCAAGAAAAAAGCAAGCCAUUUAUGAUUUAUAAGUCAUUUCUUACACUAAUCAUAUCACACAUCUUUAGCU